rnacentral:rRNA from 1 species
UACGUAGGGGGCAAGCGUUUGUCCGGAAUCAUUGGGCGUAAAGAGCGUGUAGGCGGCUCGGUAAGUCCGCUGUGAAAGUCCAGGGCUCAACCCUGGAAUGCCGGUGGAAACUGUCGAGCUAGAGUCCGGAAGAGGCGAGUGGAAUUCCUGGUGUAGCGGUGGAAUGCGCAGAUAUCAGGAGGAACACCCAUAGCGAAGGCAGCUCGCUGGGACGGUACUGAGCUAAAGGCGCGAAAAGCGUGGGGGAGCGAACAGGAAUU